GGGCGCUCACACCUGCCUUUGGGGUCUCCCUGAAGCCGUCGAGGACUUGGGAUCCCAUUUUCCAACAUGAGGGCUGGGGAUUUGGCUCAGUGGUUCCGCCGCCUGCCUCGCACGUGCAAGGGCCCGAGUUUGAUCCCCGCUACCAAAAAAAAAAAAAAUCCAUCCUUUACCCGUUUUCCAUCACGUAAGACACAGAGGGGCCCAGGAACCCCGAAAACGGGGUCAAGUUCAUUGACACCUGCUGUUAUGAAAGUGGUGCAAACCGUCUGGAGACCUAGCAGCUCCAGAAGACCUUGUUACCGUGGCAACCGGCUCGCUUGGCAAAGGUCUUGCCUGAGCUCACCCUGGGUGCGCGCUCAGCUGGCCUCUGACUGCGACAAGAGGGACAGCUCUGCCUUCCCAGGGCACGCCAGGUGUAAACUGGAGGGAGGCGGCACCAGGCGCUCCGGGGUCCAUCCUGGCUCCAGGCUCCUCAUGCUCCCCGGGAAGAGAGAGGCUUCUGGGAUUUGGCCCCUGGCUUGGGAGGGGGGAAGCCCGAGCCCCCAGGGGGUCUUUUGGGUGGGGUUCCCCGCUGGCUGGAGGCUGAGCGAGGUCUCCCGAGGGGGCUGCACUGCGCAGCCCCAGCCCGGGCCGAGCCUGAGCGGCAGCACCGAGAUAAAAACAGCAGCCUGAAACCUCGCACCGCUGGGCCGAUUUCAGGUAGCUUUGGUUUUCCCUAGGACCUGCUAAAUUUCACUUUCAAAAAGCCCCACUUGCUCUCUGCCGCUGGAGGGAAAGCAGCUGAGCCACACCUGUGGGAGACCAGCCGCAAGGUGAGUCAGAUGCAAACUCCCCUGAAAGGGGCCAGGGCGGGCCGAGCAGGGUGAGCCCCGCCCCCACCGUGCAGGCUGGGAAUGCGAAGCCCAGGCCCAGGCAGACCCGGCUGAACCGGGAGCCAGGAGUCCUUUGAACCCUGGGAAGUGCUAAAAAGAAGGAAGAGAAAAGCAAAGGUGUAAGUGUUGCAUCGUUUGCUUCUGGCAGGGCAAGUAAUUCUAAUAACUAACAACUAUUACCCCAUUUUACGGAUGGAAAAAUGAAGACACGGGCAAGUUGAGAAAGUUUGCUUAAACCAGGCGUGGAGAUGUGUGCCUGUCGUCCCAGCACUCUGGGAGGCUGAGGCAGAAGGAUCGAAAAUUCUAAGCCAGCCUGGACACCUUAGCAAGAUCCUGUGUGAAAAUAAAACAGUAUAUAAAAGGGCUGAGGAUGUAGCUCAGGGUGGAGGUCCUGGGUUCAGUCCCCAGUACUGCAAAAAAGAAAGAAGAAAAGGCAGGGUAGGGGCUGGGGAUUUAGCUCAGCGGUUCGGUGGCCUGCCUUGCAAGCGCAAGGACCUGAGGUCCUGCCUCUGGCUUGCAUUUUUCUCCACACCCACCAGCUCUUUCUCCCCUCCCUGCCAUGUGGAUGGGACAGUGGCCAUCUGAGGGUCCCCUCCCCCUGUGCCCAAUCCCACUCUCAGCGCAGACCAGGGGGCCUGUGACGGCACAAAGCCACUGUCCUCUCCUCUCCUCCACUCCACAGGAGACACUCCUAGUUUCCAACACGAUCCCCAAGCCGGGUCCUGACCAGCCCGGCCCUCUGGCCCUGCCCCAUACCUCCUUGCUCCCUCCAACAGCUGAGCCGACCCCACUCCCUUUAGCCCUGCACCCACUCGGCCUGGGGACUCCCUGAUGGGUGCCACUUCCUAGAGGACACUCAAGGUGUCCCAGGACCGCCUGUGUCCUUCCGGGAGGUGCUCGAGGCUGAAGGCCCUGGUCUUGUCGCCUUGCUGCUGGCCAACAAGAGGGCCGUGCCAGCCUCCCCCAGACCCGAAGCCCUGUUAUGUUCAGGACAUGGUUCAGUGUGGCCCCAAAUCAUUCAUGCGUUAGAAGCACGGACCCCAAGGUGGCAGACUUGGAAGGUGAUGGAACAUUUAAAGGUGAGUGCGGUGGGAGGUGAUGGGGCAUCAGAGGGACUAAAGCUUCUCUUGUCCUGCAGGAGUGGGUGCUCAGGUAAAGAGCAAGUCCAGCCGCCUGUGCUCUCAGGUGAUGGGGUUGUGGGGCUCAUUACGGACUUGUUGUUUGAAGGCGAAACCUGGUCAAAAGAGGCAGCUGUGGGGGCGUGGCCUGGGCCUGUCCAUCUUCCUCUAGGCCCCACCCUUUGCUCGCCACUUCCUUCCUUUCCACCGUGAGGUGAGCAGCUGUUCCUCCGCCAUGUAACUCUGUUCCCUGCCCUCCCGCCUUGGAACCAGCUGACUACACAGAAACUGAGCCAAAGUGCUGGGGACUUGGCUCAGUGGUGCUGCACCUGCCUCACCAGCGCAAGGUCCUGAGUUUGAUCCCUGGUACAGGAAGAAAGAGGAGGGGGGAACUGGGUGGGGAGAGGGAAAAAGAGAGAGAGAGAGGGAGAGAGGGAGAGAGGAAUGAAGGAAGGAAAGAAGGAAGGGAGGGAGGGAGGGAAGAAGGGCCAAAAUAAACCUCUCCUCCUCUGAGUUGCUGGUGUUGGAUGUUUUGUCCCAGUGAUGAGGAAAGUGACUAAGACACAGGACUUCUGUGACUAGGUUGGGCCAACCCAUGACUAAAAUCCCCGUCCCACGCACCUCACAUCCACGGACUCCUGUUUGGCCAAGAUUAGGUAACGCAGGCUCCAGGAUCCGGGUGUGGACACUUAGGUGACUAGGAAGCUG
rnacentral:lncRNA from 1 species